rnacentral:rRNA from 1 species
UGCGUAGGCGGCGUCAUAAGUCAGGGGUGAAAGCCCACAGCUCAACUGUGGAAUUGCCUUUGAUACUGUGGUGCUUGAAUCAGGUUGAGGUAGGCGGAAUGUGGCGUGUAGCGGUGAAAUGCUUAGAUAUGCCAUAGAACACCGAUCGCGAAGGCAGCUUACUGGACCUGCAUUGACGCUGAGGCACGAAAGCGUGGGGAGCGAACAGGAUUAGAUACCCUGGUAGUCC